rnacentral:rRNA from 1 species
CAGCCGCCGCGGUAAUACGGAGGGUGCGAGCGUUAAUCGGAUUUACUGGGCGUAAAGCGUGCGUAGGCGGCUUUUUAAGUCGGAUGUGAAAUCCCUGAGCUUAACUUAGGAAUUGCAUUCGAUACUGGGAAGCUAGAGUAUGGGAGAGGAUAGUAGAAUUCCAGGUGUAGCGGUGAAAUGCGUAGAGAUCUGGAGGAAUACCGGUGGCGAAGGCAGCCAUCUGGCCUAAUACUGACGCUGAGGUACGAAAGCAUGGGGAGCAAACAGGAUUAGAUACCCGAGUAGUCCCUGUCUCUUAUAC